rnacentral:rRNA from 1 species
UGGGGAAUUUUGGACAAUGGGCGCAAGCCUGAUCCAGCAACGCCGCGUGAGGGAUGACGGCCUUCGGGUUGUAAACCUCUUUCAGCACAGACGAAGCGAAAGUGACGGUAUGUGCAGAAGAAGCACCGGCCAACUACGUGCCAGCAGCCGCGGUAAUACGUAGGGUGCGAGCGUUGUCCGGAAUUAUUGGGCGUAAAGGGCUCGUAGGCGGUUUGUCACGUCGGGAGUGAAAACUCAGGGCUUAACCCUGAGCCUGCUUCCGAUACGGGCAGACUAGAGGUAUGCAGGGGAGAAUGGAAUUCCUGGUGUAGCGGUGAAAUGCGCAGAUAUCAGGAGGAACACCAGUGGCGAAGGCGGUUCUCUGGGCAUUACCUGACGCUGAGGAGCGAAAGUGUGGGGAGCGAAC